rnacentral:rRNA from 1 species
UACGUAGGCAGCAAGCGUUGUUCGGAGUUACUGGGCGUAAAGGGUGUGUAGGCGGUUGGAUAAGUGUGGUGUGAAAUCUCCCGGCUUAACUGGGAGGGUGCGCUACAAACUGUCUGACUAGAGUAUGGGAUGGGAGAGUGGAAUUCCUGGUGUAGCGGUGAAAUGCGUAGAUAUCAGGAGGAACACCGGUGGUGUAGACGGCUCUCUGGACCAUUACUGACGCUGAGACACGAAAGCGUGGGUAGCAAACAGG